CCUACGGGAGGCAGCAGUGGGGAAUAUUGCGCAAUGGGCGAAAGCCUGACGCAGCGACGCCGCGUGAGGGAUGAAGGUCUUCGGAUUGUAAACCUCUUUCAGCAGGGACGAAGCGAAAGUGACGGUACCUGAAGAAGAAGCACCGGCUAACUACGUGCCAGCAGCCGCGGUAAUACGUAGGGUGCAAGCGUUGUCCGGAUUUAUUGGGCGUAAAGAGCUCGUAGGCGGUUAGACACGUCGGAUGUGAAAACUGGGGGCUCAACCCCCAGCCUGCAUUCGAUACGGUCUGACUAGAGUGUGGUAGGGGUAACUGGAAUUCCUGGUGUAGCGGUGAAAUGCGCAGAUAUCAGGAGGAACACCGAUGGCGAGGGCAGGUUACUGGGCCACCACUGACGCUGAGGAGCGAAAGCGUGGGGAGCAAACAGGAUUAGAUACCCUGGCAGUCCACGCCGUAAACGGUGGGCGCUAGAUGUGGGGACCAUUCCAUGGUUUCUGCGUUCGCAGCUACGCAUAGUCGCCCCGCCGUCGGGAGGUACGGUCGCGACGAACGUAAACGUUAAAUAGAAGUUAGUACGGACGUGAGACGUGCCGACGGACGACGACGAGGGAGGAGG
rnacentral:rRNA from 1 species